AGCAGUUCACGUGCAGAUCUAAAGGACUACCAGCUGAAGUGGAUAUCCUGAUGAUGUACUGCAUUUAAGCCAUAACUGCUUUGUGCAAUGUGCUGGGGACUCAACCUUGUUGCCGCUGUGAGACGGUCGUUUGUCUAACACUGUGACGCCGAGGAUCGCUCCAGGUUUGACGCACCGUGCCUGUUAAGGAGAUGGGUGAGGGACUUGCUCCAUCAGCACACUUCAGAGGCGCUGUCCGACUCAUUAACCACCUGGGGGGGUGCCGGCGGGAAUUCCUGGGUCCAGAGCGUUCAGGCUCCAAUCCCCUUGGGUGCUGGGAAGAGCGCGCCGUCCUCCACCCAACCAGGCCGUUAAUGUAUAUAUUUGCACUUGAAAUAAAUCUGUUAUGUUCUUUG